rnacentral:rRNA from 1 species
GGUUAAGCGACUAAGCGUACACGGUGGAUGCCCUGGCAGUCAGAGGCGAUGAAGGACGUGCUAAUCUGCGAAAAGCGUCGGUAAGGUGAUAUGAACCGUUAUAGCCGGCGAUGUCCGAAUGGGGAAACCCAGUGUGAUUCGUCACACUAUCGUUAACUGAAUACAUAGGUUAACGAGGCGAACCGGGGGAACUGAAACAUCUAAGUACCCCGAGGAAAAGAAAUCAACCGA